rnacentral:lncRNA from 1 species
AUGAUCUUCUUGAAAUAUUGCCAAAUCAAGGUUUGGAACUUCCUAAAGAUUCAAGGAGAAUUUUAAAAGCACCUUAUGAAAAGUGACUUAUAGACAGGAGUGUCAACUACAUCAAGUGUCAGUUAAUAUAUAUGUUUUGGUCAAAUACAUGUUUGUAUUUGCUCCUCCAAAAUUUGAAAGUCUGUGAUUCAAAAUUUCGCUUUUCCCAAAACAAAGUUAAAGAAAAUAUAUGAAGUCAAUGAUAAAUCUUAAAGUUUUAC